UGGGGAAUAUUGCACAAUGGGGGAAACCCUGAUGCAGCAACGCCGCGUGAAGGAUGAAGGUUUUCGGAUUGUAAACUUCUUUAGUCAGGGACGAAAAAAUGACGGUACCUGAAGAAUAAGCCACGGCUAACUACGUGCCAGCAGCCGCGGUAAUACGUAGGUGGCGAGCGUUGUCCGGAAUUACUGGGUGUAAAGGGCGUGUAGGCGGGAAAGCAAGUCAGAUGUGAAAUACCGGGGCUUAACUCCGGGGCUGCAUCUGAAACUGUUUUUCUUGAGUGUCGGAGAGGAAAGCGGAAUUCCUAGUGUAGCGGUGAAAUGCGUAGAUAUUAGGAGGAACACCAGUGGCGAAGGCGGCUUUCUGGACUGUAACUGACACUGAGGCACGAAAGCGUGGGGAGCAAACAGG
rnacentral:rRNA from 2 species